AACGAACGCUGGCGGCAUGCCUAACACAUGCAAGUCGAACGAGACCUUCGGGUCUAGUGGCGCACGGGUGCGUAACGCGUGGGAACCUGCCCUUAGGUUCGGAAUAACUCCCCGAAAGGGGUGCUAAUACCGGAUAAUGUCUUCGGACCAAAGAUUUACCGCCUUUGGAUGGGCCCGCGUUGGAUUAGCUAGUUGGUAGGGUAAAAGCCUACCAAGGCGACGAUCCAUAGCUGGUCUGAGAGGAUGAUCAGCCACACUGGGACUGAGACACGGCCCAGACUCCUACGGGAGGCAGCAGUGGGUAAUAUUGUACAAUGGGCGAAAGCCUGAUCCAGCAAUGCCGCGUGAGUGAUGAAGGCCUUAGGGUUGUAAAGCUCUUUUACCCGGGAUGAUAAUGACAGUACCGGGAGAAUAAGCUCCGGCUAACUCCGUG
rnacentral:rRNA from 1 species